rnacentral:rRNA from 1 species
CCUACGGGAGGCAGCAGUAGGGAAUAUUGCUCAAUGGGGGAAACCCUGAAGCAGCAACGCCGCGUGGAGGAUGAAGGUUUUCGGAUUGUAAACUCCUUUUGUUAGAGAAGAUAAUGACGGUAUCUAACGAAUAAGCACCGGCUAACUCCGUGCCAGCAGCCGCGGUAAUACGGAGGGUGCAAGCGUUACUCGGAAUCACUGGGCGUAAAGAGCGCGUAGGCGGGAUAGCAAGUCAGAUGUGAAAUCCUAUGGCUUAACCAUAGAACUGCAUUUGAAACUGUUAUUCUAGAGUAUGGGAGAGGUAGGUGGAAUUCUUGGUGUAGGGGUAAAAUGCGUAGAGAUCAAGAGGAAUACUCAUUGCGAAGGCGACCUGCUAGAACAUAACUGACGCUGAGGCGCGAAAGCGUGGGGAGCAAACAGGAUUAGAUACCCCAGUAGUC